rnacentral:rRNA from 1 species
GAUGAACGCUGGCGGCGUGCCUAAUACAUGCAAGUCGAGCGAACAGAUGAGGAGCUUGCUCCUCUGACGUUAGCGGCGGACGGGUGAGUAACACGUGGAUAACCUACCUAUAAGACUGGGAUAACUUCGGGAAACCGGAGCUAAUACCGGAUAAUAUAUUGAACCGCAUGGUUCAAUAGUGAAAGACGGUUUUGCUGUCACUUAUAGAUGGAUCCGCGCCGCAUUAGCUAGUUGGUAAGGUAACGGCUUACCAAGGCAACGAUGCGUAGCCGACCUGAGAGGGUGAACGGCCAACCUGGAAGUGAGACACGGUCCAGACUCCUACGGGAGGCAACAGUAGGGAAUCUUACGCAAUGGGCGAAGGCCUGACAGAGCAACGCCGAGUGAGUGAUGAAGGUCUUCGGAUCGUAAAACUCUGUUAUUAGGGAAGAACAAAUGUGUAAGUAACUAUGCACGUCUUGACGGUACCUAAUCAGAAAGCCACGGCUAACUACGUG